GUGAAUCAUCGAAUCUUUGAACGCACAUUGCGCCCCCUGGUAUUCCGGGGGGUAUGCCUGUCCGAGCGUCAUUUCAACCCUCAAGCGCUGCUUGGUGUUGGGCGUGGCCCCCCGAGGCCGGCCCCAAAGACAGUGGCGGCGCCGCCUGGCCCUAAGCGUAGUACGUUCCUCGCUACAGCGCCCUACGGUGGCCCGCCAGAACCCCCAACUCAGCGGUUGACCUCGGAUCAGGUAGGGAUACCCGCUGAACUUAAGCAUAUCAAUAAGCGGAGGA
rnacentral:misc_RNA from 1 species